rnacentral:misc_RNA from 1 species
UUCCCGUAGGGUAAGUUAUCAUCUUUGAUGGAAUAUGUGCGACCGUCUGCUAACGUUUGUCCAGUGAACCUGCGGGAGGAUCAUUAUUGAGAGAAGUCUUUGGACUUCGGGACUUUGGUCCCAUCCUCUUCUCACCCAUUGUUAAACAUACCUUUGUUGCUUCGGCGGGCCCGGGUCCCGACUCGCGCCGGCGGUUUCCGCGGGCGAGUGCCCGCCGAUGGCCCAUUUAAAUUGUGUCACGAUGUCGUCUGAUCAAAAAUCAUAAUUGAACAAAACUUUCAACAACGGAUCUCUUGGUUCUGGCAUCGAUGAAGAACGCAGC